rnacentral:ncRNA from 1 species
AUAUCUGAUCACGAAGGGAAUAGUAGCCGUUGAAAGUCGUCAGAGACCGCAUGGUGGUGAAAAUGCGGGGCGGACAGCAGUGAACUGGCCCUAAAAUCGACUGUUGCUGAAUUAAUAGUAAGGAACAGCGUUGGCCGCGUUAAAGCCGUUGAGAGCUACUUUUUAGUAGAAUUACGGGUGGUACCGCGGAUACUUUUCGUCCUGUAG